GGCUUAGGAUGAACGCUAGCGACAGGCCUAACACAUGCAAGUCGAGGGGCAGCACAAGGAGCAAUCUGAGGUGGCGACCGGCGCACGGGUGAGUAACACGUAUGCAACCUGCCUGUAAGCGGGGAAUAACCCGUUAGAAAGACGGACUAAUACCGCAUAAUACUAAAUUACUGCAUGGUAAUUUAUUUAAACAUUUAUGGCUUACAGAUGGGCAUGCGCAUGAUUAGCUAGUUGGAGAGGUAACGGCUCCCCAAGGCAACGAUCAUUAGGGGUUCUGAGAGGAAGGUCCCCCCACACUGGUACUGAGACACGGACCAGACUCCUACGGGAGGCAGCAGUGAGGAAUAUUGGUCAAUGGACGAGAGUCUGAACCAGCCAAGUCGCGUGCAGGAAGAAUUGUCCUAUGGAUUGUAAACUGCUUUUGCAGGGGAAUAAAGUGCAUCACGUGUGAUGUUUUGUAUGUACUCUGCGAAUAAGGAUCGGCUAACUCCGUGCCAGCCGCCGC
rnacentral:rRNA from 1 species